CUCCAUAUUACCUAUAGUUCUGUUUACGUCAAUUUUAUGCGCUCGGCUGCCAUUUUUGCGUAGCCUAGUGCUUAUUAGCCAUUCCAUGGGCUCGGUCUCCGUGGUAAUGUCUGGAUGUUGUGACGUAGUAAUUGGGAGACGCUGUUGUCUUUAGUUGUGUGUCUAUACUGAGAGCUAGCGUUUUUGUUUUGGCUAUGUCGGGCCCCAGGCAGUGCCCUGACUGUGGCUCCUGUGAUGUUGUGGAGGAUGCUCACUACUCCCAGGACCAGCUGGUGUGCACUGCCUGCGGCUUUAUAUUGACAGAGGGACUGCUGACAACAACCCAGGCAGAGGAGGGCUUUCAGCAAGGUGUGUAUACUGUAUUAUAAUCCCACAUAGUGCUAUGCUAUCACAGUGUGGUGUUUGUUUUGAUUAAAACAAGGUUUAUUGAAUAAUUAUUUUGUUUCAAGGCAUAAAGGUAAAGCAUUCUGAUUAAAGUUGCUCUGCCACUUUAUAAAAAAAAAAAACACACAACUAAAUAUAUUUAGUCCCAAAUCUCCCCACUGAUUUAAGUGCACCUAUAUACAUUACAUUGCAUUAUACAUUUUAGAACAGGUUUGUUUUUUUGCUUUGUUUGUUUUUUCUUUCUGAUAACGUAUAUCUAUACCUGAUGCAACCUUAAGUAUGAUUUAAAUGUUUUUUUUAAAUGGCGAAAAGAUUCAUAGUUUUGCUUUUAAUACUAUACAAGUGCAACUAAAGAAAAAUACAAAAAGAAUUUCAAUUAUUUAUUUGCAUUUCUAAGACAACACUGGAAGGAGUCAAUUAAAGGGACUCUAUAGUCACCAAAACAACUUUAGCUUAAUGAAGCAGCUUUUGUGUACAAAUCAAGCCUCUGAAGUUAAUUCACUUUUGUUUCUGUUGGAGGGGAACUAUAGUGCCAGGAAAACAAACGCAUGUGCCUGGCACUAUAGCUUCCCCCUUUGUCAAUGCUCACCCCCGUGGUGCAGAAGGGGUUAAUAACCCCUUCUGUAACUUACCUGGGUCCAUCACCGAUGUUACUUGAUGCUGGUUCAGCUCCGCCCACGUCCGCUGGUGGGGGAGACCUAAUGCGCACAAUGGCCUCGCUCGCAUUUGGAUUUCCUCAUAGGAGAGCAUUAUUCAGUGCUUUACUGUGGGGAUUCCAGUGACGCUGGAAGUCCUCAUUCAUAGCGUGAGGACGUACUGCCUCGUUUAGGCGACCAAAAGUCGUCUUCAAGCCUGGUAGGCUGUGUAAUUCACACGCAGGGAGGUGUGACUAGGCCUGAAUGAAAAGUGUUUUAACUCCUAAAUGCCAUAGAAUUGAGCAGUAACACAGCAGGGACAUGAUCUAUACACCAAAACUGCUUCAUUGAGUGACUAUAGUGUCCAUUUAAGGUGUUAAAGCUAGACCUUUGCAAAAUUUCGUAUAAAUUGUAGCUGGAGGAAAGGGAGCUCGGACAGUUGUGCAUAUAGCAUUAGGCCACCACACACAAAACAUAAAAUUAGGGAUUAUUCUAGCUUUUAGUGAACGAAUAAUCUGAAUUUUAUUAAAGACAGGAGGCGAAUAUUUGCUUAUCUUUCUUUACUGUAACUCCCAGCAGCAAAGAAAUGGUUAACAAUGUUGUAUGGAAAAAUCAACCAAUCAUAACAUAUCUCAACUACAAUAUAGUGUCAUCAAACUCCUCCCACUUCCUCUUUCUUGAUGUUGCCAGUCAGUAGCAAAGUCAACCAUGUAAACUUUAACCGGAACAGUUCCCGAAGCUGAAACUCGAGAUGAAGUCAACCAUGUAAACGGAAAGUUGAUCGAAUAAACUUGAGAUCUUCACACUAAAAGAAAAGAGAGACUUCGUGAAAGUAAGGUUUCUCGGACAAGAGAAAAAAUAUAUAUAUAUAGUUGAAUCCCCUAUUUCCAAUUAUAGUUCAUACGAAUUGGCAGAAUAAUCAAGAUUAUAAAGAUCUAUCAGUACUCUAUGAGAUAGGUGUUUAACCACAAGGUGAGCAAAUCGUAUAUAGCAGGUUUGUAUGUAAAUAAUGGUAUCAUACAUUAAUCAUUGAGUAUGAGACUUACCUCGAGGGUGGGUUCCGGAAUGAACGAAGGGAGGGAAAAUAUUCGCCUCCUGUCUUUAAUAAAAUUCAGAUUAUUCGUUCACUAAAAGCUAGAAUAAUCCCUAAUUUUAUGGCAAGACAGGAGGCUUCAUAUUUGCUGUUUUAACGCUCUCGAAUAAUAGAACAAGCCGCAUGUGUUUGUGUUGGUUUAAAAUAAAAAGUCCGAAAGGUAGAUUCCCUUGACCAAUCAGCGCAGGACAAAAUAUCCGCUAAUGAACUGCCGGCCCGAAAGGCAGAGGAUGCGGCCGCUCCCCUAACGGAAUGGGCCCCAAAUGAUCUAUCGAUUCCCGCUUGGAUAAGUAACCAUCUUAUCCAGCGAGCGAUAGUGGGGGAAGAGACCGGUUUGUGAGGUCUGACAUAAGAGAUGAAAAGGGGACCGGUAGGAGAACGUAGGGCGGCAGUUGCCUCUGUGUAACAACGAGUACACAGAGCCACACAGAGGGCUGGCCUGUCGGGAAAGUAUGGGUAAAAAACAGACGAGGAAUUCGUCUUAGUGCGCCUAGUAAUUCACCUUCUGGUGUGAAGGAGACAGCGUGUGAAUCAAAAGCGUGAACGUCAGAAACUCUGCGGAAUGACACCAGGCACAGUAGCAGGGCCAAUUUUGCAGAGAGCUGUCGAAGGGAUAAGGCCUCGUUAGGAGGCCAAGACUCUAACAAUGCGAAGACUCGAGAUAUGUCCCAGAAGCCAGAGUAUUUGGCAGAAGGUGGCCUCGUCAAACGAAUGCCUCGUAAAAGUCUGCACACAGAAGGAUGUUUCCCAACUAAGGAAUUAUCAAUAGGGUCAUGUCCCGCCGAAAUGGCGGAACGAAAAACAUUAAUUGAUCGGUAUGAUUUACCCUGAUCGAAAAGGGAUGAUAGAAAAUUUAGAAUGGAUGAGAGAGAUGUUGAAACGGGAUCGAAAUCCCUCUCCAGACACCAGCUGACCCAAACUCGCCAUGCGGCGAGAUAGGUGCGCCUGGUUCCUGGUGCCCAUGAAUCCCAUAGGAGUGUUUGAGCAGUGCUUGAAAGUCCUGCGACAUGCCAAGCACCCCUGAAACUGUCCAGGCCACUAACUGAAGGUGGCCCUGUAGAGCUAGUGGAUGGUAGUCGCCCGUUGAGUUCUUGAGAACCCGAUGUGAGCGAGGUAGAAUGAUGGGGUAGUCUGUGGAAAGCUCCAGAAGAGUGGGGAACCACGUCUGGGCCCGCCAUAGAGGGGUAACUAUCACAAUCUUGACCCUCUGUGAUUUGACCUGGUGGAGAGUACGUUGAAUCAUGGAGAAGGGAGGGAAGGCAUAGGCUCCGUCCCGUGGCCAAUGUUGGAGAAAAGCGUCGACAGCUGGGGAUAGAGGGUCUGGUAACCAGCUGAAAUAAUCGUCUGUUUGACGAUUCAGCCGAGACGCGAAGAGGUUGAGAGUGAGCGGUCCCCGCAAUAGGUGAAUGUGGUGAAAUAGAAGAGGAUCUAAUUGCCAAUCGCUGGCAUCCCUCCAGUGACGUGAGAACCAGUCCGCGACUAAAUUGUCGGGUCCUGGGAGAUACUCGGCCCGAAUAGACAGAUUCCUGUCUAAGCAAAACUGAUACAGAUCCUUGGUGAGGUCUGACAGUAGUUUCGAUUUGGACCCUCCUAGACGGUUUACAUAUCGUACUGCGGAGAUGUUGUCCAUCCGAAGUACCAGAGAGCAGUUGGAGGCUUCUUUGGCAAAGCUGCGGAUCGCGAAGGAUCCGGCAAUGAGCUCGAGACAAUUUAUGUGAAGUGCUCGUUCCGACGGGGACCAGAGACCUCCUGUGUAUGAUUGGGCGCACGUAGCGCCCCAACCGAGUAGGCUGGCAUCGGAUUCCAGAAUAAAAUCUGGUUGAGAUCCGAAAAUCGCUUUCCCAUUCCAGGCUUCCAUAUUGCGAAGCCACCAGUGAAGUUCGAUGAGAACUUCGUCCGUUAGGGAAAUGAAUUGGUCGUAGGAGGUCGAGCGAUGUAAAUAGGAGGUUUUCAGCCGUUGCAUUGCUCUGUAAUGCAAGGGCCCUGGAAAAAUAGCCUGAAUUGAUGCAGACAGAAGACCCAGCACGUGUGCUAGGUCGCGGAGUCGAGGUCGUUGUGACUUGAGUAAUUUUUGAAUCUCUCGUUUUAUGUUUUUGAUUUUGGAGUAGGGUAAUUGUAGAGUUGCUUGAACUGAAUCUAUCUGAAAACCCAAAAAUUGGACUAUUUGAGAAGGUACCAGGUCUGAUUUCUGGUAAUUUAUGACAAAACCUAGGUUUUGAAGGAGGGCAGAGGUCAUGUGUGUGUGUUUGCGAAGUAAUUGCUGAUCUUGUGCCAUGAUCAGGAUAUCGUCCAAAUAUAUAAUUGAACGUAUGCCCUGAGAACGAAGGAGCGCCAUGACUGGUUUCAUCAACUUGGUGAAACACCAUGGAGCAGAACAAAGUCCGAAAGGGAGGCAGGUGAACUGCCAAAUGUCGCCUUGCCAACGGAAUUGGAGGAAGGCACGGUGACUUGGUGCUACAGGGACCGUCAGAUAAGCAUCUUUGAGGUCGAAUCUGGAGAACCAGUCUCCCAUGCAGAGCAAGUCCCUGAGAAGAUGGAUACCUUCCAUCUUGAAAUGACGGUAUGUGAUAAAGCGAUUCAACGCCUUGAGGUUGAUAAUGGGACGAUGGUCCCCCGUUUUCUUCCGAACCAGAAAUAUAUUGCUGAGGAAGGUGCAAGGGAAAGGCGAAGGUUCGAUCGCCCCUUUGUGUAACAAUUUUGUCAGUUCUGUGUUCAAGGUUAGAGUAUCUGCUUUUGACAUCCCUAAGGGUGUCGGGUGAGAAUAUUGAACUGGAUGUGUGAUAAAAUCUAUUUUGAAACCUGUGACUGUAUGAAGGAUCCAAAGAUCCUGAGAAAGAAGUUUCCACUGUGGGAAAAAGAAUGUUAAUCGACCUGCGAUUGAUACAGUUUUUAAAUAAGCAAGGUCCAUUACCUGAAGCAGUGCGUCCGCGCAGGGAUACAGAGCCACGUCCUCGAAUUGAGCCUCUGGUGUUGAACAGCUGCCUGUGGUAUGGUCGUGAGUAUCCCGUGGACCAAUACUCUGUGGGUCGGGGCCUGUAGCCUGAAAAGGCUGCUCUACUGGUAGCUCGGCCCCUUGAGCGACCAGCUCUCCCAGAAAAACGAUUUUGAAAAGUGGGACGGAACACCCUACGUAGGGAGGACUGGGCUUUAUUGAGUGUGGUAAAAACUGAGACAUGCUUGGAGAGGUCUCGCAUGAAACUGUUACCAAAUAAAAGACCAUCGGCCUCUGGGCCUAGUUCUUUAGUGCUCAAAUCCACUAGUUUGGCAUCGAUUUUGUACAGUGCCGCUCUGCGUCUCUCAAUUGAAAUAGCCGUAUUGGCGUUGCCCAGAAGGCAAAGGGCUCUCUGCGCCCAUUCUCUUAUAAUAUGCGGGUCUAAUUCACCGCUGGUGAGUGCCUCAUCUGCGAGUAUAAAUAUUUGUAUGAUAGGACCUGAAAUGUCCAAUAAUUUGUCUUGGGUUGCUUUCAAACCCUGUUCAAUACCCUUCCGAGGGUCUUUACCAGAUUUUGUUAAAUAGGUGACCAACAUGGGGUCAAAUUCAGGGGUAGAGGCAACUUUGCCUGGGAUAGUAGGUCUCGGGCAUUCAGCCCUUAGUUUGUUUCUGAUUUCUUUUUCGAGGGGCUUGCGAAGCCACAGUUUACAGAAAUUAGCAAUAUGAUCUGGGGGAGCCCAUUCUGCUGAGCGUGGGUGGCGUAUCACCCUUGGGUCAAAAAGUGGAAGGCCUGAAGCAUCCAGGAGGGUGUCUGAGUCAGGUACCUUACUCUUGUGAUCUUGAUUUAGGAAAGUUUCUUUCACGAACUCCGAUGUUGAGGAAUCCUGGGGCACAUUCACCAUGGGAUCCUCAUCAGAGUAAUUGGGGUCAUAGUCACUUAGAAUAUGGCCAGAUAAACGUGAAGUAGAACCCUCUAGAGGGUCUGUAACAUCCUGUGAAACAUAGGGCUUAGCAUGUUUAAUGACCUUAGCAGGAGCUUUGCCCUUGCCCGCAGUAGCGCUAUUCCCUUUCCAGGGUCUUUUGCGCGGGGCGCUAUCUUGGUCGGAGAUAUGGGAGUCCUCAGAGUCAGAGGGCUGUUGUGUAGAGGGGUGUACCUCUGGAUUACGUUCAUGGUAGGCUGCCAGAGCCUUAGGAAUGGACUCUGCGAUAGUUGAGAAAAGCCAUUCCUUAAGUUCGGCAGAGAUCGCAGGGUCUUGGCGAUCUGACAUAAUGUCAAUUUAAAGAUAAAUGUAAACCCUAAUAACAACUAUCUAUAUAUAUAUAUAUAUAUAUAUAUAUAUAUAUAUAUAUAUAUAUAUAUAUAUAUAUAUAUAUAUAUAUAUAUAUAUAUAUAUAGAUAUAGAUUAAAGAGUAUCAAUUAAGGAUGAGGCAACUCAAUUAGAAAAAUAUGAGGUGGGGGUCACCCACGAGACGUCAAACAAUGGGGGUCACCCACAAAUGCUUGGCACAAUAAAAUAGUAAAGGAUAAUUAAUGGGGGUCACCCAAUAAUACAGAUUGUGAACAAUAGGAAAUAUUGUACAGAUACUGAGGUGGGGUCACCACUAUAAAAUUACACCAAUAAUAUAUAUAAUGUGUAUAUAUAAUGUACUGUAAGUAAUGGGGGUCACCCACAAAAUAAAGUAAAGUGGUGUUAGCCACAUAAAUAUGCACACAGCAGUGUAUUCAGUAGGUGGUGUCAGCCACACAACUAUUGUACAUAAUAUGUACUUUAAAUAAGUAAGUGGGGUUCACCCACAGGAGGAAAAUAAAAAUGGUCAGUCAGACAAAUUUGGUAAAAAACAAACCACACUGUAAUUAUACCACUUAAGGAAAGGGGUUCACCCAGAGUUGUAAUAAAAUGGUCCUGUGUGGGCAAAGCCUGUGGAAAAAACAGAUAGGAGAUAGAUCAGUAAGUGAUCGUUUUUAAUGAGUUUUAUGAAAAAAUAGGUGGAUAUAAGGUGGCAGCAACCUACCUUCCACAACUAGUUAAUAAAGUUCUGUACCCACAGGAUGAUCGUGAAAAACUAGCGCCGCAGUGGAGGAGCCGUUGGCAGUUACACUGCAGUUUAAAAUGGCCGCCGCGAGAUCGCCGCCGUUGAAAGGGCGGGAAAGGUCCGCGUCAUAGGAAGACGCUUGGUAGGCGGGAGGAAGGCAAUGGCGGGAAAAAAGCAGCCGCGGCUCUGGGAGAUGGAGUCCGCGGCUGAAGAGAGGCAGAGAAUAGGGCCGCGGCUCUUCCUGAGAGAAUAGAGCCGCGGCCAGCUGAGUGAAAAACGGCAGGGUUCGAAAAACCCUCCGUGCACUGAAAACCGGUUAGGACGCCAAAUUUAAAGGGGAACAAACAAUCCAAUACAGGGAAAUAAGAAAAAAUAAUAUAUGUGUGAGAAAAAGAGGAAAUAUUUAAAGGAAAUAUUUAAAGGAAAAGAUGAUUGAAUCAAAAUAAAUUUUUUAAGAUGAAUUCUAUGUAUGCAGUAACAAGGUUUAAAUAAACAAAUAUUGAAUUAACUAAAACCAGUAAGGCAAUGUAAUUGGAGCAGACUCACCUGGGAGGCAAGCAGCAAAGAAAGAGGAAGUGGGAGGAGUUUGAUGACACUAUAUUGUAGUUGAGAUAUGUUAUGAUUGGUUGAUUUUUCCAUACAACAUUGUUAACCAUUUCUUUGCUGCUGGGAGUUACAGUAAAGAAAGAUAAGCAAAUAUGAAGCCUCCUGUCUUGCCAUAAAAUUAAUACAGCCUUUAAUGCUCUCAUUCUGAGCUGACUGGAAUUUAUUAUUUUUUUUUUUUUUUUUUUUAAGAAUACUGUGAAUUUUUUAAAAUAGAAAAUACUCUAUAUCCAUUAAUGCAAUUAAAUCAACCUAAAUAUGUCUUGUUUAUUGUUUGUGUACAGCGGUGAAGUUUUCUGAGAGUACCGGAGAGCGUGAAUCAACAAGCAAGUGCAAACUUCGAGG